rnacentral:lncRNA from 1 species
GGGUGGCUUAAGUUGGUGGCAUUUGGUUGCCUUUCCUGGGGAGAGGCGGCAGGUGCUCAGCUCUGCAGACGUGGGGGCAAGAGAAGGCCCAAGCUGCCUCGAGAAGAGCAGAGGUGCCCCAUGGGGACCAUGAUGACCGGUCGCAUGUGCCAAAGCCAGCCCCCGGCAGGGCCAGCGCAGGGUUUCUGCGGGGCCGUCCUGUGGCUCUGAUAUCUAUGAGUGGGUGGCCAGCAAAGGCACAGGCACCAGCAGAAAGGAGCAGAGAUGCCCAGAACAUGCUGUCCCCCAAUGCCAGCCCCAAGCGAGGCCAGCUUAGGGUGCGGUGGGCAGAGCCAUCCUGCAGCUCUGAGAUCCACGAAGUGGAGGUGGGAGUAGCGCCAGGCUCCACGGCGUUGGAGCUCUCACAACUUGAGCUCAAUUUUAUUCCGGAGCCAUGACCUGCAGCACAUUGGUGACCAGAAGACGCCCAAAGGCAUUGUGUGAUCAAAGCAAAAUAAAUAUGUUCUUGUUUCUGGAAUUACUAAAGCUUUGAAAAUGGACUUAUCGACCUCAAACCAAUGGGACAUAUUCCUACAUGGCCUUCUCCCCUGUUAGGGUUCCCAGGGUAUGUCUUUAAUGUCUGGUUUAAUAGAAGAAGACUUGGUUCUCCUUUCUGCUUCUAUGUUUAAUUUCUUGUGACAUCCCACGUCAGGUAGCUGGGAAACUCCAAUUAUACUUGUGAGAGAAUGAAAGUGGAAAAGGGUUUCCCAGAGGAAGAGAGAGAAUUUGGACAAAUGAAUGAGGAACAACGCUCUCCUGAGGGUUUUCUUUAAGGGGCGAGGAUCACUGCCGCUAGCUCCUUUGAAAGCAAAGUUAAGAGGCAGCGCAGGAAGGCACAGCAGGAAGGCUCAUGGUUAGACUACAGAGAAGGAAGCAGCCACUGCUGGGGACCUACCCUGUGCUGGUCACUGACAAGCUGUCUCAUUAAACCUUCCCGGACCCUCAA